rnacentral:RNase_P_RNA from 3 species
CCAGGCGGCUAGGCAUUCGCUGGUUGCCCCCUUUCGAGGGGGGACGAGAGGAAAGUCCGGGCUUCAAAGGGCAGGGUGCUGGUUAACGGCCAGUGGGGGCAACCCCAAGGAAAGUGCCACAGAAAACAGACCGCCCGCACAAGCGGGUAAGGGUGAAAAGGUGCGGUAAGAGCGCACCGCGAUCUUGGUGACAAGGUCGGCACGGUAAACCCCACCCGAAGCAAGGCCGAAUAGGGAGACACCGGGGUGGCCCGCCCUGUCUCCGGGUUGGCUGCAUGAGGGCGUCGGCAACGGCGCCCCUAGAUGAAUGAAUGCCACCGGCGCGCAAGCGUCGGGACAAAACCCGGCUUACGGCCGCCUGGGGCC